UACGUAGGGUGCAAGCGUUAUCCGGAAUUAUUGGGCGUAAAGAGCUCGUAGGCGGUUUGUCGCGUCUGCUGUGAAAACUGGGGGCUCAACCCCCAGCCUGCAGUGGGUACGGGCAGACUAGAGUGCGGUAGGGGAGAUUGGAAUUCCUGGUGUAGCGGUGGAAUGCGCAGAUAUCAGGAGGAACACCGAUGGCGAAGGCAGAUCUCUGGGCCGUAACUGACGCUGAGGAGCGAAAGCGUAGGGGAGCGGA
rnacentral:rRNA from 1 species